rnacentral:lncRNA from 1 species
CUAGGUGGUAUUUUUUAAUGCGGCUCUAGCCAAUGCCGAGGAAGAGAAGGCACGGCUGCGCAGGCAGCUGAGGGAGCAGCAGACACGCUGCCGGCGCCUGGCUUAUCUGGAAGCCACAUCCCAGAGUGAGCCCACAGAGCAAGCCCUGGUCCCCAGGAGUGGGGACAAUUGUGUGUCUGGGGAGAGCACCCAGGCUCUACAGAUGGCCAUGGAGAAGCUGCAGGUGAGUGAGCCUUUCCCAACAGAGGAAGUGUAGAUACAGGACAGGUCCCUCCUGAGUCUUGACCCUGCUAUUUUGGCCUCAGAGCCGCUUCCUGGAGGUCAUGCAGGAGAAGGUGGAGCUCAAGGAGCGGGUGGAGGAACUGGAACAUCGCUGCAUCCAGCUCUCUGGAGAGACGGAUACCAUCGGUGAGCCCAGCUGGGGCCCAAGGCAGUGGGGGUUGCAUAGGGGCCUGUUGGGGGAGCCCCAGCAUCUGAGUCCUGUGCCCUGCCCUCCCUGCAGGAGAGUAUAUUGCCCUCUACCAAAAUCAGAGGGCAGUGCUGAAGGAGCGCCACCGAGAGAAGGAGGAGUACAUCAGCCGACUGGCGCAGGACAAGGAGGAGAUGAAGGUAGGAGCCCCUGAACAUCUCUUCUCUGCGGGCCUGCAGGCUGGGCGGGGGCCGGGAUACUGAGCAUCUCUCCCUUCAGGUCAAGUUGCUGGAGCUGCAGGAGCUGGUGCUGCGGCUUGUGGGGGAGCGUAACGAGUGGCAGGGCAAGUUUCUGGCAGCGGCCCAGAGUCCUGCUGAAACCACCACUCCAGAGCCAGCAAGCCCCCAGGAAUUUGGAGCAACUGACAAGCAGGGUGGUGAGUAGAGACCUCAGGACGGGCUGACAGGAGGAGCAGCAGAGGGCUGCUCCGUGCUCAGAGGCCUUUCCUCUCUCCAAAGACCUUCAAGAGGUGAGCCUUGCUGACAGCGUGGAGCCGGCACAAGGAGAGGCUGGGGCGGCUUCUCCCCCUGAGAACCACACUGCGCAGCAGAUCAUACAGCUGCUGCGCAAGAUCCAGAACCCCCAGGAACGCCUCGGCCUGGGCACCAACCCCUGCGUCCCCUUCUUCUACCGUGCCGACGACAAUGAUGAGGUUAAGAUCAUGGUCAUCUAAGUCGGAGGCCGGGGAGGAGGGGCCAGGGACUUUUCCCCCAUCUGUCCCUUACCCCCCUGUCCCUGCCAUUCCUUCCCAGUUACCCUUUUACCCUUAGGACUAGCAAGUUAAGACCCCUAACAGGGGACAAACAGGUGCAGACCCUUUGCCACCUUGGCUAGGGCUGAGUCUUGAUUUCUGGACUCUUGCUCCAGAAAGAGAGCCAGAGGCUCAUAAUUUUCUAGAGGGGCAGGGCUCUCUAGUGGUCCCCUUGCCCUCACCAAGCAGACCUUCAUUUAGGGGGCUCUCUCCUCUUACAAGAGGCACUUUGGGGCAGGCAAGUUGGGCAGCAUUUUCACAGCCCUUAAGAUGGGGCUCGGGCUGGGGAUGUGGCUCAAGCGGUAGCGCGCUCGCCUGGCAUGCGUGCGGCCCGGGUUCGAUCCUCAGCACCACAUACAAAACAGAGAUGUUGUGUCCGCUGAUAACUAAAAAAUAUUAAAAAAAAAAAAAAAAAAGAUGGGGCUCACUGUAGGCGGGGCUGGGGCAGAGUCUGGCGGGGGCAGUCCUCCAUUCAGCAGGGCUCCCGUCUUAGAGGCACUUUGGCAGGUCAGCUGGGCAGCAUUCUCAUGGGUCUUCAAACAUUUAGGGUCACUGAAGGCUAGGCGAGGGCAGCGUGGGCGCAGGCAGUCCUGAGGGCUCCCAUCCUCAGAAGUAUCUUGGGCAGGGCUACUGGGCAGAAUUCUCAGGCCUUAUGACAGUUGAGGCUAACUGUAGGCCAGGCAGGGCAGAGGCUGCUGGGGGGGGUGGGCCUCCCCUCGCCCAGUGUACAUAUUGUACCUGUGUAUCAUUUUGUAAAUUCUGGGGUAGGACUGCCCCCUGUAUCAUAGUUGGAGCUGGCAAAUGGAGAGAAGGGUCUAAUAAUUAUUUGGGAUUGGAAAACUUAUUUAUUGAUAGCAUAGGACAAAGGAAGGAGGCAGGGAUGGGGUUGUGGUGCCCUGGUGAUGCAGCUCCUGUUUAUUUUGCUUUUUAUUUCGGAAUAAAUGGAUUUAGCCAUACCGCUCA